rnacentral:rRNA from 1 species
UACAGAGGAUGCAAGCGUUAUCCGGAAUCACUGGGCAUAAAGCGUCUGUAGGUGGUUUAAUAAGUCUGCUGUUAAAGACUAGGGCUUAACCCUAGGAAAGCAGUGGAAACUGUUAGACUUGAGUAUGGUAGAGGUACAGGGAAUUCCUAGUGUAGCGGUGAAAUGCGUAGAUAUUAGGAAGAACACCAAUGGCGAAAGCACUGUACUGGGCCACAACUGACACUGAGAGACGACAGCUAGGGGAGCAAAUGGG